UUUACGUGGCCAUUACCUUGGUGGGAGUAGGAGCUCUCGAAGAACAGAUACUACUUUGUAUUAGAGUUCUUUACCCAAACAAGGAGCUGACUCUAUAAUUUAAACCAAAGGGAAUUUAUUGGAAGGGUAGGAGUUAGCUCACAGACUCAACGGACAGCUGAAGAGUGGAGGCCGAGCCAGAGCUGAAUGUGUGGACGUCAGAAGAGCUUCGUGGGUUCAGUUGUCAACAGCCAACUCUCACUAGUUCAAGCAUAAAAGGAACAGCUCAAAGGAUAUCCAGUAGCAGGAAAGGCGAGAGAGAAAUGGCUUGAAGUCUUACACAGCCCGGACAAGAAGCAACAGCCCAGCCAGGCAGCAGGACCGCUCCAGCAAAGACCCCGUGCCCCACUGUUGCACGCACACUUAAGCUCCCACCAGUGGCCCUGACCUGGAGUCUGUCGUCCCGGCCUUCUAAAACCAGAUGCUUCUACUGCUACCUGCCCUGCCUGGAGAAACAUCUCUACGCAGCACUAGCUUCCUUACGUUGCUCACACCCAAGUCAAGGUCUCAUGCAGGACCCAGAACUCAUCUGGUUCCUGCCUCUUCUCCAAGCUGAUCCGUCUAGGCUACGUCGGAGGGCCCAUUGCCUCUGGAGUCCAGGUGGGCUGUGUCCCUGAACAGAAAGAAACUGCUUGGUUCCUGGGGCCUCUUCUACUCAACGCUUCCCUAGUUCCAGAACCGCUCCCUCUGCUGACUCUUCAGGUCCCUUGUAAGGACUUAGCUGAAUUCUCUACACUGGGCAGGAAUAUCAUCCCCCUUACUCCUGAAGUUCCCUCUUGAAACUAUUUCUUAGGUGAAAAUCACACCACAUAAGGGAUUAGUAAAGCUUUUAAUAGCCAAUAAACACACAAUUUAAAAGAGAAAAGAAACAAAACAUUGUGAUCCAGAGUCAAUUAGAGCCCACCAGGAUAGAAUAUCUGCGAAGAAAGCAAUUGCCAAAGCAAUAAGAAUGCAUCUUAAAGUUUCAGAAAUGGAACUCAGAGAAAACGUCCUCAAGGAAUAAUACCAAGACAGACCCACUUGAAAUGUGCGAUGGACUGAGAUGAAAGCCUCACAAAUGCCCUUAUAAAUCUUAAGAAAACUAACAAACGGCUGGUCAGUUAAGACUCUAGUGUUAUUGGGCGCCUGGGUGGCUCGGUUGGUUGAGCGUCUGUCUGCCUUCGGCUCAGGUCAUGAUCCCGGACUGAACCCCACAUGGGCUCCCUGCUCGGCGGGGCAUCUGCUUCUCCCUCUGCCCUUCACCCCUCACGUGCGCGCGCUGUCCCUGCCUCUCAAAUAUAUAAAUUCUCAAAGGAAAAAAAAAGACUCUAGUGUUAUUGAUGAGACAGCAGGUAAAGGAAGCAGAGAUCCUGGGAACACGGGAAAUGCAGAAAUGAGUGGUCCUGAUCUGCAUCCUGAGGGUACCAAGGGAUUCCCUGAAGAACUCUCAGAACCAAGGGCCUUUGAUUUAGAAAACACAACAAAACACAGAGGUCUUAUCUUCAGCAAGAAUCCCCCUGACUCCAUGGAGCGCCUGGGUGGCUCAGUCGUUAAGCGUCUGCCUUCCGCUCAGGUCAUGAU